UACGAAGGGGGCUAGCGUUGCUCGGAAUCACUGGGCGUAAAGCGCACGUAGGCGGUUUGUCGCGUCUGCCGUGAAAGUCCGGGGCUCAACUCCGGAUCUGCGGUGGGUACGGGCAGACUAGAGUGAUGUAGGGGAGACUGGAAUUCCUGGUGUAGCGGUGAAAUGCGCAGAUAUCAAGAGGAACACCAGUGGCGAAGGCGAGUCCCUGGACAACACCUGACACUGAGGCACGAAAGCUAGGGGAGCAAACAGG
rnacentral:rRNA from 1 species